rnacentral:rRNA from 1 species
GUAGGUGUACUGGAAAGUGCACCUAGUCCUAUAAGCAUAAAUUGCCCGUAUUCAAGUCUACCAUUUUUUUUAAUUCUAAGAAAAAUAUUUUUUUAUAGAAUCUAUAAAGUAAAAACAAUCGAAAUUUAAAAUUAAAAUGGCUAUAGUGAAUAGUAUUGUAGAAGAAAUUAACUUUUUAUUGGAAAUUAAAAAAAAGAAGUUAAAUUUCCUUUUGUAUAAGAAAAAAUCAAAAUUAACGUUUAUUACUACCAUCCCGAAACAAAAAGAGCUAGGAAUAAAAAAGUUUACGUUUCAAAGUAAUUUUUUACGGCCUCCUAGUAAUGAAAUGUUAGUCGAGUUUUGUUAUAUCUGGUUUUUUUCUAAAAAAAUUCAAUUUAAACUUUCUUACUUUAAACCCUAAGAAAAGUCUAAUCUAGGAGGGUAGAGCUUCUUAGAAUUUCGAUAUAUAGAUAUACUACAUAACUUACUUAUACCUUCUAGGCUUAAAAGUAGCCAUGUAAGAAAAGUGUUUAAACUUACUACCAACACAACUGAAUACUAUUAAUUUCUACUCUUAUAAUAAAUAAAAAAACAUUAACUACAAUUUACAAAAUAAGUGACAAUGAUUUUAUAAGUAAAUAUUAUUGGUUAAUUAUCCUAUUAUUAAAAAACUCAGCAAGAUUUAACACCACUGCCCGAGCCCUAAAGCUAAGUAACUCGGCAAAAACCGCUUCUGCCUGUUUAUCAAAAACAUGUCUGCUCGCUAUAAAGAGCAGUCUGGCCUGCCCACUGAUGAAAAAUUUAAAGGCCGCGGUACCCUAACCGUGCGAAGGUAGCAUAAUAAUUAGUCUUUUAAUUGAAGACUGGAAUGAAAGGUCGGACAAGAAGCAAACUGUCUCAGCUUUAUUUAUCGAAAUUAACUUCUAAGUGAAAAGGCUUAGAUAAAUUUGAAGGACGACAAGACCCUAUAAAACUUUAUACUUAAAGCAUACUCUCCGAACUAUUUGUGAAAACUAGAUCAUGCCUUAAAGUAUUGCGUUGGGGAGACGAAAGUAUAACUUGUAACUGCAUUAACCUUAAACAAUAAUUUCUGAAUUCAUUGAUCCUUUUUAGAUUAUAAGAAAAAGUUACUUUAGGGAUAACAGCGUUAUUUUUUUUGAGAGUCCUUAUCGACAAAAAAGUUUGCGACCUCGAUGUUGAAUUAAAAUUACCUAACAAUGCAGCAGUUGUAUAGGUAGGUCUGUUCGACCUUUAAAAUUUUACAUGAUUUGAGUUCAAACCGGCGUGAGCCAGGUUGGUUUCUAUCCUCAAAUACUCACUUAAACUAUUUUAGUACGAAAGGAUUUUUUAGUUAGAAUAUUUCUCUUUAAACGGAUUACCUCUGUAAUUAUUAGCAAAUGCACUGGUGUUAAUCAGCAAAUUAAU